rnacentral:ribozyme from 1 species
UCUACGAGUUCACCAUGGGUGUUGACGGCUCCAAGGUCAAGGGACGUUACACCUUCGUCUACGUGUUCG